ACUACGGGUGGCAGCAGUGGGGGAUAUUGGACAAUGGGGGAAACCCUGAUCCAGCGACGCCGCGUGAGUGAAGAAGUAUUUCGGUAUGUAAAGCUCUAUCAGCAGGGAAGAAAGAAAUGACGGUACCUGAGUAAGAAGCCCCGGCUAACUACGUGCCAGCAGCCGCGGUAAUACGUAGGGGGCAAGCGUUAUCCGGAAUUACUGGGUGUAAAGGGAGCGUAGACGGUAAUGCAAGUCUGGAGUGAAAGGCGGGGGCUCAACCCCCGGACUGCUCUGGAAACUGUGUAACUGGAGUGCAGGAGAGGCAGGCGGAAUUCCUAGGGUAGCGGUGAAAUGCGUAGAUAUUAGGAGGAACACCAGUGGCGAAGGCGGCCUGCUGGACUGUAACUGACGUUGAGGCUCGAAAGCGUGGGGAGCAAACAGGAUUAGAUACCCGUGUAGUC
rnacentral:rRNA from 1 species